rnacentral:rRNA from 1 species
GACGAACGCUGGCGGCGUGCUUAACACAUGCAAGUCGAGCGGUAAGGCCUUUCGGGGUACACGAGCGGCGAACGGGUGAGUAACACGUGGGUGAUCUGCCCUGCACUCUGGGAUAAGCCCGGGAAACUGGGUCUAAUACCGGAUAUGACUACAGCAUGCAUGUGUUGUGGUGGAAAGAUUUAUCGGUGCAGGAUGGGCCCGCGGCCUAUCAGCUUGUUGGUGGGGUAAUGGCCUACCAAG